ACGCCGGAAUCUUACCGGGACCGACAGCAAUAUCCUUUUGGGGCUGAAGACUUUGCCGGAUUAGCUGAGAGGUGGUGUUUGGCCGUCGUCAGUUCGUACUGUGAAGCAUCCUGUUAAGUCAGGCAACGAGCGAGACCCACGCCCACAGUUGCCAGCGUACUCUCUGGAGUGACGGGUACACUGUGGGGACCGCCGCUGCUAAAGCGGAGGAAGGAAUGGGCAACGGUAGGUCAGUAUGCCCCGAAUAUCCCGGGCUACACGCGAGCUACAAUGGUUGGUACAAUGGGUAUCUACCCCGAAAGGGGACGGGAAUCUCCUAAAACCAAUCUUAGUUCGGAUUGAGGGCUGCAACUCGCCCUCAUGAAGCUGGAAUCCGUAGUAAUCGCGUUUCAACAGAACGCGGUGAAUACGUCCCUGCUCCUUGCACACACCGCCCGUCAAACCACCCGAGUAGGGUCUGAAUGAGAGCGCUUUCUUUGGAGGCGUUCGAAUUUGGGCUUUGCAAGGGGGGUUAAGUCGUAACAAGGUAACCAAGGGCGAAU
rnacentral:rRNA from 1 species